rfam:Picea glauca, whole genome shotgun sequence.
GGGUGGGAUCAUACCAGCGUUAAUGCACCGGAUCCCAUCAGAACUCCGCAAUUAAGCACGCUUGGGCCGUAGUAGUACUGGGAUGGGUGACCUCCUGGGAAGUCCUGGUGUUGCACCCU